GAUCCCAAGGGAACCAGGAACUGCCCAUCUUGGAGCUGAUCCUACAUCCACGGAUUUCUAUUCCAGAUUGGAUGUAGGUCUUUUCACUAGCUUGAGCCCCGGGCUGAACCAUUCAUCCUUCAUCCACCGAUCGCCAAAUCGGCUUAGCCGAGACCAAAUCCACUUUUUAUAGUAUAAACGCGUAAUGGCACUAUGGCAGGCACCAAGAUCACUCGUUUGGUACCCCCAUUGGGGUUGGGGUAAGCCACCUGCCAAAGAAGAACUUGGGGCUUGGAAGCGCCUCCCUAGAGAGCAAAGCCAAAGCAAUCAAUCAUCGCUUUUAAGGGCAUUUCCGCUUCUAUAAAAAGUUAAUUCAAGGUAUAAAGGGAAUAGCGAAACCUAUCGGAAGACUUUGUCCGAAAGAACCCGUUCUACCUUUUCAUUUAGCCCCGCCCAUCUCUGUUCUGUAAAGAUCGUCUCG